rnacentral:rRNA from 1 species
GAUGAACGCUGGCGACGUGCCUAAUACAUGCAAGUCGAGCGAACGGACGAGAAGCUUGCUUUUCUGAUGUUAGCGGCGGACGGGUGAGUAACACGUGGAUAACCUACCUAUGAGACUGGGAUAACUUCGGGAAACCGGAGCUAAUACCGGAUAAUAUUUUGAACCGCAUGGUUCAAAAGUGAAAGACGGUCUUGCUGUCACUUAUAGAUGGAUCCGCGCUGCAUUAGCUAGUUGGUAAGGUAACGGCUUACCAAGGCAACGAUGCAUAGCCGACCUGAGAGGGUGAUCGGCCACACUGGAACUGAGACACGGUCCAGACUCCUACGGGAGGCAGCAGUAGGGAAUCUUCCGCAAUGGGCGAAAGCCUGACGGAGCAACGCCGCGUGAGUGAUGAAGGUCUUCGGAUCGUAAAACUCUGUUAUUAGGGAAGAACAUAUGUGUAAGUAACUGUGCACAUCUUGACGGUACCUAAUCAGAAAGCCACGGCUAACUACGUGCCAGCAGCCGCGGUAAUACGUAGGUGGCAAGCGUUAUCCGGAAUUAUUGGGCGUAAAGCGCGCGUAGGCGGUUUUUUAGUCUGAUGUGAAAGCCCACGGCUCAACCGUGGAGGGUCAUUGGAAACUGGAAAACUUGAGUGCAGAAGAGGAAAGUGGAAUUCCAUGUGUAGCGGUGAAAUGCGCAGAGAUAUGGAGGAACACCAGUGGCGAAGGCGACUUUCUGGUCUGUAACUGACGCUGAUGUGCGAAAGCGUGGGGAUCAAACAGGAUUAGAUACCCUGGUAGUCCACGCCGUAAACGAUGAGUGCUAAGUGUUAGGGGGUUUCCGCCCCUUAGUGCUGCAGCUAACGCAUUAAGCACUCCGCCUGGGGAGUACGACCGCAAGGUUGAAACUCAAAGGAAUUGACGGGGACCCGCACAAGCGGUGGAGCAUGUGGUUUAAUUCGAAGCAACGCGAAGAACCUUACCAAAUCUUGACAUCCUUUGACAACUCUAGAGAUAGAGCCUUCCCCUUCGGGGGACAAAGUGACAGGUGGUGCAUGGUUGUCGUCAGCUCGUGUCGUGAGAUGUUGGGUUAAGUCCCGCAACGAGCGCAACCCUUAAGCUUAGUUGCCAUCAUUAAGUUGGGCACUCUAAGUUGACUGCCGGUGACAAACCGGAGGAAGGUGGGGAUGACGUCAAAUCAUCAUGCCCCUUAUGAUUUGGGCUACACACGUGCUACAAUGGACAAUACAAAGGGCAGCGAAACCGCGAGGUCAAGCAAAUCCCAUAAAGUUGUUCUCAGUUUGGAUUGUAGUCUGCAACUCGACUACAUGAAGCUGGAAUCGCUAGUAAUCGUAGAUCAGCAUGCUACGGUGAAUACGUUCCCGGGUCU